CCUACGGGAGGCAGCCGUGAGGAAUAUUGGUCAAUGGACGGAAGUCUGAACCAGCCAUGCCGCGUGCAGGAAGACGGUUCUAUGAGUUGUAAACUGCUUUUGUACAAGGGUAAACCUGAAUACGUGUAUUCAGCUGAAAGUACUGUACGAAUAAGGAUCGGCUAACUCCGUGCCAGCAGCCGCGGUAAUACGGAGGAUCCAAGCGUUAUCCGGAUUUAUUGGGUUUAAAGGGUGCGUAGGCGGAUUGAUAAGUUAGAGGUGAAAUGUCCGAGCUUAACUCGGGAACUGCCUCUAAUACUGUUGAUCUAGAGAGUAGAUGCGGUAGGCGGAAGGUAUGGUGUAGCGGUGAAAUGCUGAGAGAUCAUACAGAACACCGAUUGCGAAGGCAGCUGACCAAUCUAUAUCGGACGUUGAGGCACGAAAGCGUGGGGAGCGAACAGGAUUAGAGACCCUUGUAGUC
rnacentral:rRNA from 1 species